GUAUUUGCUUUGGCAGUACACAUACUAAAAUUACAAUGAAACAGUGAUUAUCAUGGCCCCUUCACAAAAAUGAGACAAAAAUAAAUGAAGCAUUCCAUAUUGUG
ensembl:snRNA U6 U6 spliceosomal RNA